UAAUUUGUCAUGAUAUAGGAAUAACUAGUUUGUUAAUCUGUGACUUUAUCAGUGAGAAUCAUUUUUUGGAGUUUACCAAAGAGAUGGUUAAGCAAAUAGAUAAGCUUUCUUCUUUGUUAAAUGUAGUAAUCUAUUGAAAGGGUUCCGAGUUCAUAUUAUACGCAUAGUCAUUAUAUCCUAAGAUCCGUGAUGAUAUCGGGGAUUAUUGGGUUAAUAUAUGCGUUAAUUGAGUUAGAAAAAUUUGGCAUUUACAGUUCUAAUUUGUUGUCUAUGUCAAACCCUCCUUAGUCUUAUAGUUAAAACAACGUCUUAAAGUUUUGACAUGCCAUGCUGACAUUUGAACAUAGUUAAACAAACAUAAAUAUAAAAUGGAAUGGCUGCCUAUUUUGUCUGAUGGUAUGAUUGAUCUUUU
rnacentral:lncRNA from 1 species